rnacentral:rRNA from 1 species
UGGGGAAUUUUGGACAAUGGGCGAAAGCCUGAUCCAGCAAUGCCGCGUGUGUGAAGAAGGCCUUCGGGUUGUAAAGCACUUUUGUCCGGAAAGAAAUCCUUGGCUCUAAUACAGUCGGGGGAUGACGGUACCGGAAGAAUAAGCACCGGCUAACUACGUGCCAGCAGCCGCGGUAAUACGUAGGGUGCAAGCGUUAAUCGGAAUUACUGGGCGUAAGCGUGCGCAGGCGGUUUGCUAAGACCGAUGUGAAAUCCCCGGGCUCAACCUGGGAACUGCAUUGGUGACUGGCAGGCUAGAGUAUGGCAGAGGGGGGUAGAAUUCCACGUGUAGCAGUGAAAUGCGUAGAGAUGUGGAGGAAUACCGAUGGCGAAGGCGAGCCCCCUGGGCCAAUACUGACGCUCAUGCACGAAAGCGUGGGGAGCAAACAGGAUUAGAUACCCUGGUAGUCCACGCCCUAAACGAUGUCAACUAGUUGUUGGGGAUUCAUUUCCUUAGUAACGUAGCUAACGCGUGAAGUUGACCGCCU